rnacentral:rRNA from 1 species
UACGUAGGGUGCAAGCGUUGUCCGGAAUUAUUGGGCGUAAAGAGCUCGUAGGCGGUUUGUUGCGUCGGCUGUGAAAUCCCGAGGCUCAACCUCGGGUCUGCAGUCGAUACGAGCAAACUAGAGUGUUGCAGGGGAGACUGGAAUUCCUGGUGUAGCGGUGAAAUGCGCAGAUAUCAGGAGGAACACCGGUGGCGAAGGCGGGUUGCUGGGCUGACACUGACGCUGAGGCGCGAAAGCUAGGGGAGCGAACGGG